rnacentral:rRNA from 1 species
AGUGCAUGUGGUGGAUGCCUUGGCAGUCAGAGGCGAAGAAAGACGUGAUAGCCUGCGAAAAGCUUCGGGGAGGCGGCAAAUAUCCUGUGAUCCGGAGAUGUCUGAAUGGGGAAACCCACCUACCAUAAGGUAGGUAUUGCAUGAUGAAUACAUAGUCAUGCAAGGCGAACGAGGGGAAGUGAAACAUCUCAGUACCCUUAGGAAAAGAAAUCAAUUGAGAUUCCGUCAGUAGCGGCGAGCGAACGCGGAUCAGCCCAUUAAGUUAUCUAAGUUUUAGUGGAAUGCUCUGGGAAGUGCAACCAUAGCGGGUGAUAGUCCUGUACACGAAAGGGCUUAGAUAAUGAUGUCGAGUAAGGCGAGGCACGUGAAACCUUGUCUGAAUAUGGGGGGACCAUCCUCCAAGGCUAAAUACUCCUGACUGACCGAUAGUGAACCAGUACCGUGAGGGAAAGGCGAAAAGAACCCCUGUGAGGGGAGUGAAAUAGAUCCUGAAACCGCAUGCAUACAAGCAGUGGGAGCCGACUUGUUCGGUGACUGCGUACCUUUUGUAUAAUGGGUCAGCGACUUAUAUUCAGUAGCGAGGUUAACCGUUUAGGGGAGCCGUAGGGAAACCGAGUCUUAAUAGGGCGUAUAGUUGCUGGGUAUAGACCCGAAACCAGGCGAUCUAUCCAUGAGCAGGUUGAAGGUUGGGUAACACUAACUGGAGGACCGAACCCACUGUCGUUGAAAAGCCAGGGGAUGACUUGUGGAUAGGGGUGAAAGGCUAAUCAAGCCUGGUGAUAGCUGGUUCUCCCCGAAAGCUAUUUAGGUAGCGCCUCGGACGAAUACCAUAGGGGGUAGAGCACUGUUUCGGCUAGGGGGUCAUCCCGACUUACCAAACCGAUGCAAACUCCGAAUACCUAUGAGUACUAUCCGGGAGACAGACUGCGGGUGCUAACGUCCGUAGUCAAGAGGAAAACAAUCCAGACCGCCAGCUAAGGCCCCAAAAUCAUAGUUAAGUGGGAAACGAUGUGGGAAGGCAUAGACAGCUAGGAGGUUGGCUUAGAAGCAGCCACCCUUUAAAGAAAGCGUAAUAGCUCACUAGUCGAGUCGGCCUGCGCGGAAGAUGUAACGGGGCUAAAACUAUGUGCCGAAGCUGCGGAUUUGACAUUAGUCAAGUGGUAGGGGAGCGUUCUGUAAGCCGAUGAAGGUGGAUUGAGAAGUCUGCUGGAGGUAUCAGAAGUGCGAAUGCUGACGUGAGUAACGACAAAACGGGUGAAAAACCCGUUCGCUGAAAGACCAAGGGUUCCAGUCCAACGUUAAUCGGGGCUGGGUGAGUCGACCCCUAAGGCGAGGCCGAGAGGCGUAGUCGAUGGGAAAUUGGUUAAUAUUCCAAUACUUCUGUGUAAUGCGAUGAGAGGACGGAGAAGGUUAAGUCAGCCUGGCGUUGGUUGUCCAGGUGGAAGGUUGUAGGCAUGUAUCUUAGGCAAAUCCGGGGUACUCUAUGCUGAGAACUGAUAGCAAGCUGUACUUGUACAGUGAAGUGGCUGAUACCAUGCUUCCAGGAAAAGUCUCUAAGCUCCAGUUACACAGGAAUCGUACCCGAAACCGACACAGGUGGUCAGGUCGAGUAGACCAAAGCGCUUGAGAGAACUCUGCUGAAGGAACUAGGCAAAAUGGUACCGUAACUUCGGGAGAAGGUACGCUGCUGACGGUGAUGGGACUUGCUCCCUGAGCUAUUGGCAGCCACAGAAACCAGGCCGCUGCAACUGUUUAUUAAAAACAUAGCACUCUGCAAACACGAAAGUGGACGUAUAGGGUGUGAUGCCUGCCCGGUGCUGGAAGGUUAAUUGAUGGGGUUAGCGUAAGCGAAGCUCUUGAUCGAAGCCCCAGUAAACGGCGGCCGUAACUAUAACGGUCCUAAGGUAGCGAAAUUCCUUGUCGGGUAAGUUCCGACCUGCACGAAUGGCAUAAUGAUGGCGGCGCUGUCUCCAGCAGAGGCUCAGUGAAAUCGAAAUCGCUGUGAAGAUGCAGUGUACCCGCGGCUAGACGGAAAGACCCCGUGAACCUUUACUGCAGCUUGACAUUGAACUUUGACCUUACUUGUGUAGGAUAGGUGGGAGGCUUUGAAGUUGGAACGCCAGUUCCAAUGGAGCCGUCCUUGAAAUACCACCCUGGUAAUGUUGAGGUUCUAACUCUGUCCCGUUAUCCGGGACGAGGACCAUGUCUGGUGGGUAGUUUGACUGGGGCGGUCUCCUCCUAAAGAGUAACGGAGGAGUACGAAGGUGCGCUCAGCGUGGUCGGAAAUCACGCGUAGAGUAUAAAGGCAAAAGCGCGCUUAACUGCGAGACCCACAAGUCGAGCAGGUACGAAAGUAGGUCUUAGUGAUCCGGUGGUUCUGUAUGGAAGGGCCAUCGCUCAACGGAUAAAAGGUACUCUGGGGAUAACAGGCUGAUACCGCCCAAGAGUUCAUAUCGACGGCGGUGUUUGGCACCUCGAUGUCGGCUCA